UUUGGUCUCACUUACUGUUUGUGGACGAAGCUUUUCAUUCAGGGAAACAUUCUGCAUAAUCUUACAGCCGGGGUGUCUCGCACAAGAUGUCCUUGCAACGUGACCAGGCUGGGGGCCCCACGCCUUCUAAGUCCAGGUUAAGACCAAGUCCUGCUACCCGCAACUCCUUCUCUUCCCCUGCGCUUGGCACCUCCGUCUGGAUGGGUCAUCUGGUGAACCCAGGUAAUUGCAGGAACCGAGGCCCAGCCCUCAGCUGAAUGGGCCUGCCUCGUCUGUUUACCUGCAGCCACUGUAGUCUUCUUGGACGGUCUGGAACUUGGAAUAGGUGGGCCACUGCUGCCUUCUAGGACCUGGAAAGGGCUACAGAGAGCACCUCCCAGACAGACGGGCACUGCACACGAAGCCAAGCAGCUCCUUUGCAGCAUUAACCUCGUGUGUGACAAGUGGACACACCGCAAGCUGUCACGCCACCAUGGGCAGGUCCCUCAGGGCCUGUCAGGAGGAGACUGAGGCUCGGAAAGAUGGAGCGACAUGGCCACCAAGAGGGCAAGCCAGGGCUCCAGCUUGUGUCUUGUGGCUCCAGGUCUGUGUGCCUUUUACCCCGCCAGAAAGCCCCGGUUAUAAGUGACGAGCACGGUUCCUGGACAAACUGCUUCACUGGAAUUCAGUCCUGGAGAAGAAAAAUGGCCCCUGCGAUGGGUUUACUGGGUCCUGGAAUCUGCGUGGCCUGUGUGAUCCAGCCUCGUGAGCAACCCUCCCGCUCGUGUUGUGUUCCUGGAUUAGGGGUGAUUGAUGCCAGCUGAGGUUCCCACCGAGGCUCCGUGCACAGCGAGUCAGGAUCAAGGGAACCCAAUAUGAAAACUGUUACAAAGCCUUUCAGUGAAUUCCAGAGCAGAACUCACACCAUACAAAAUACCAAUUUCCCUUAAGAUAAGGGCAGCUGUCUCAAAUCCUUUUUGGAAUAAGUGGUCACACCGAUUACUGGACUCCCCAGCGCUGCCACCGGGACAAGCUUCAGAGAGCUGUCAGGGACACGGCCACGCCAGCAGAUCGUCCAGCCGCCUGUCACGGCCUCGGUGCCCAGAGCUGCCAUAUUUCGUUCCCGACCCCAGCCAUUCUGAUCAGAGCAGGGGUGGGGGACAGCUGGCCCAAGGGAAUAAGACAGAAAUGAUGGGGAAAGCAACCGAGUGGGAGCCACAGCAGCAGCUGUAGGAGAGGAGAAGGGAGAGCCUGGGGGCGACAGACAGAGCAAGCUCGGCGGAGAGCCAAGGGCUUUCUGAGCCCAUCCGCUCUGGGCACUGCUGACCCAGCUUCCCUUGAGCACCUGCGCUGGUAGCCAUUGUCCUGAGGAGACUGAAGCAUCUCUGUGUCCUCUGCAUCUCCCAGGACACUGGGGACCUGGAAAUUCAUUACUAUAAGAACCUCCUCCGUAGCUGUUGGAUGCUCUGGUGUUAAGGGCUGAAUUGUGUCCCCCUAAAAUCGUCUGUUGAAGUCUUAACCCUCAGUACCUCAGAAUGGGACCUUAUUUGAAGGUAUGGUCUUCAUAGAGGCCAUCAAGUCAAAAUGAGGUCAUUAGGGCGGAUCCUAAUCCAGUCUGACUGGUGUCCUUAUAAAAAGGGGGAACGUGGACACACACACAGAAAGAAUGCCAUGUGAAUGUGGAGACGGCCAUCUACAAGCCAGAGAGGGAGGCCUGGAAUGGACUCUUCCCCAAAGCCCUCAGGAGGGACCAGCCCUGCCCACACCCCUCCAUCUCAGACUUCUAGACUCCAGAACCGCGAGACAAUAAAUGUCCGUUGUUUAAACUGGCCUUUCUGUGUGCUCUGCUCUGGCAGCCCCAGGACACUGACACAGCUGGUAGGGUCCUCUGCCUGGCCCAGGGGCCCUAAAACCAGCACAGUCCCGCAUCUGCAACCACUUCAAUUCCAGCCCUUUAAUCUCUGGUCCCCAAAUGAAACCUUUGCUUUCGUGUUUUAUUUUAUUUUGUUUUAAACAUUUUGGGACGACUGUAUCUGCAAUUUUAAAAGUUCGUAAAAAUAGUUUUCUAUUAAAAGGCAGAGGCUCCUGGCCUCUUGCCUUCCCAGAUCUGUUCCACUGCCCAGAGUCAAAGGGCUCUAAUCGUUCCAGUAAUUAGCUGUCGGGGGCCGGCAUGUCUGAGCAGAGUACUGACUUGUUCUCUG